GCCGGGAUAGCUCAGUUGGUAGAGCAACGCAUUCGUAAUGCGUGGGUCGUCGGUUCGACUCCGAUUCCCGGCUCCA
rnacentral:tRNA from 1 species